UACACCCAUGUUCCAGGACUGUUCUGGAAGUGGUACAGGGUGGUUUGGGGAGAACUAGCAACGCUGGGGAGACUGCUCCGUCGGCAGGUGUUUGUUGGGCACCUGCUGUGUGUCACGUGUGUAAGAUGGUUUCUGCUUCCGUGUCAUCCUCCAUGAAGUAGCUACCCAAACAGAAUGUGACAUGCCAGGACUCUCCUGGGGGCAGUGCCUGUGACAGGAGGAGAGGCAAUGGAAUCUGUCUCAUGGAAACCGGGAUUCACAUCUGCCACUCAGCUUCUGUGCGACCUUGGGGGUCAAGAAAGGAAAUCAGAAGAAGGGUAGGAAAAGAAAGAGUCCAGUUACUCAGAGAUCUGCAGACAAUGGGACAAAGAACCUCAUGGUGUACCCAAAUAUCCCCAGACCUGGUCUGUCUCUGUACCCCGAGAUCAGAACACAUGCAUCUGGCAAUGGAGCCACAGCGGGGGUUACCAUUUGGAUGAUGGCAAAUAGCAAAGAUCAUCUGCAAAGAUGUGGUGGAACCUCUGGGUGUUUUGUUCCAAGUAUCAGUCAGCAUUUACUAAGCAUUUCUAUUCCCGGAACAGUCUGCUGGGCACAAGGCAGGGAAGACAAAAAGAAUGUCAGACUCGGACCCCAGACUGGAAGAGCAUAUCGCAUCCUUUCUGUUGGAAAGAUUGCGAUGUUAUGACACAAAUAAGAGAGAAGAGAAGAAAGAAUGUGACAUGCUGCUAUUAAAGCUAUGAGAGGUCAGGAGCAGUUGUUUGGGCCAGAGGACAGAGAAAAAGUGUCAUGGAAAAUGUGACUGGGUCUGGAGCGACAGUUACAGUUUUAAAAGCCUGUGAAGGGGGGAACAUUCCUGAGAUUGGCAAGAAGGACCUUGGCGUGAGAGUGGAAGAGGGACAAGGUUCUGGGAAGAGGGUGGCAGCUGGAGGUCACGGAGGUGCUGCAGGUGGUGGCUGUGGUCCUGUGCUCCAGCCUCUGCCCCUCCCCGCCUUGUUUCCUCCUAUCGUGCUGGUUAUAAAACACAUACUUUAAAAAUAAUAAACACCUCCAUAAUCUCCUUCCUCAGGUUAA